UGGGGAAUCUUCCGCAAUGGGCGAAAGCCUGACGGAGCAACGCCGCGUGAUCGAAUGAAGGCCUGGUUGUAAGAUCUGUUGACAGGGACGGAAUAAGCAAUGCGAAUAGUUUUGUGUAUGAUGGUACC
rnacentral:rRNA from 1 species